rnacentral:rRNA from 1 species
CCUACGGGAGGCAGCAGUGAGGAAUAUUGGACAAUGGACGAAAGUCUGAUCCAGCCAUGCCGCGUGCAGGAUGACGGCCCUAUGGGUUGUAAACUGCUUUUAUACAGGAAGAAACACUCCCACGUGUGGGGGCUUGACGGUACUGUACGAAUAAGGAUCGGCUAACUCCGUGCCAGCAGCCGCGGUAAUACGGAGGAUCCAAGCGUUAUCCGGAAUUAUUGGGUUUAAAGGGUCCGCAGGCGGUCUAUUAAGUCAGAGGUGAAAUCUUGCAGCUCAACUGUAAAAUUGCCCUUGAUACUGGUAGACUUGAGUCAUUGUGAAGUGGUUAGAAUGUGUGGUGUAGCGGUGAAAUGCAUAGAUAUCACACAGAAUACCAAUUGCGAAGGCAGAUCACUAACAAUGUACUGACGCUCAUGGACGAAAGCGUGGGGAGCGAACAGGAUUAGAUACCCUGGUAGUCCACGCCGUAAACGAUGGAUACUAACUGUUCGACCUUCGGGUUGAGUGGUUAAGCGAAAGUGAUAAGUAUCCCACCUGGGGAGUACGCUCGCAAGAGUGAAACUCAAAUGAAUUGACGGA